rnacentral:hammerhead_ribozyme from 1 species
CUCUUGCUGACGAGUCAUAAAUAGGAUGAAACGUGCGUCCUGGAU